ACCUCUCCGGUGGCCUAGUGGUUUGAGCGUCUGCUGCAGAUGCGGAUGGUCAUGGGUUCGAACCCCGGUCGAGUCA